rnacentral:rRNA from 1 species
GACGAACGCUGGCGGCGUGCUUAACACACGCAAGUCGAACGGGCCCGCUCUCUUUUUUGGGGGUGGGUUGAGUGGCGAACGGGUGAGUAUCACGUGAGUAACCUGCCCCCUGCUCCUGGAUAACUGCUUGAAAGGGCGGCUAAUACGGGGUGUGCCGGCUGGUCCGCAUGGGCCUGGUCGGGAUAGUUUCAUCUUCGGGUGUUUCGGUGGGGGAUGGGCUCGCGGCCUAUCAGCUUGUUGGUGGGGUGAUGGCCCACCAAGGCGGUGACGGGUAGCCGGCCUGAGAGGGUGGGCGGCCACACUGGGACUGAGACACGGCCCAGACUCCUGCGGGAGGCAGCAGUGGGGGGUAUUGCACAAUGGGCGGAAGCCUGAUGCAGCGACGUCGCGUGAGGGAUGGAGGCCUUCGGGUUGUGAACCUCUUUCUCCGGUGGUGAAGGCCCUGUCCGUUGCGGCGGGGUUGACGGUAGCCGGGUAUGAAGCGCCGGCUAACUACGUG